UAAUGAGAAUUUUGAGUCUUCUAAACUUAAUUAAGGUUAAUCCUACUCAUUUAU
rnacentral:tRNA from 1 species